UACGUAGGGUGCGAGCGUUAAUCGGAAUUACUGGGCGUAAAGAGUGCGUAGGCGGUUGCUGAAGUCCGCUGUGAAAGCCCCGGGCUCAACCUGGGAAUGGCAGUGGAAACUAGGCGACUUGAAUCUGGCAGAGGGGGGUGGAAUGCCGCGUGUAGCAGUGAAAUGCGUAGAGAUGCGGCGGAACACCGAUGGCGAAGGCAGCCCCCUGGGCCGAGAUUGACGCUCAGGCACGAAAGCGUGGGGAGCAAACAGG
rnacentral:rRNA from 1 species